AGAGUUUGAUCCUGGCUCAGGACGAACGCUGGCGGCGUGCUUAACACAUGCAAGUCGAGCGAUGAAGUUUCUUCGGAAAUGGAUUAGCGGCGAACGGGUGAGGAACACGUGAAGAAUCUGCCCUCCACUUUGGGAUAACACCGGGAAACCGGUGCUAAUACCGAAUAUUGAAACAUAAGUGGCAUCACUGAGUUUUGAAAGAAUUUCGGUGGAGGAUGACUUCGCGGCCUAUCAGCUAGUUGGUGAGGUAAUGGCUCACCAAGGCAACGACGGGUAGCCGGCCUGAGAGGGCGACCGGCCACACUGGGACUGAGACACGGCCCAGACUCCUACGGGAGGCAGCAGUGGGGAAUAUUGGGCAAUGGAGGAAACUCUGACCCAGCGACGCCGCGUGCGGGAUGAAGGCCUUCGGGUUGUAAACCGCUUUCAGUAGGGAAGAAGCGAAAGUGACGGUACCUACAAAAGAAGCACCGGCUAACUAUGUGCCAGCAGCCGCGGUAAUACAUAGGGUGCAAGCGUUGUCCGGAAUUAUUGGGCGUAAAGAGCUCGUAGGUCGUUUGUUACGUCGGAUGUGAAAACCUGAGGCUCAACCUCAGGCCUGCAUUCGAUACGGGCAAACUAGAGUUUGGUAGGGGAGACUGGAAUUCCUGGUGUAGCGGUGGAAUGCGCAGAUAUCAGGANGAACACCAAUGGCGANNNCAGGUCUCUGGGCCAAUACUGACACUGNNNAGCGAAAGUCUGGGGAGCGAACAG
rnacentral:rRNA from 1 species